ACGGGAGGCAGCAGUGGGGGAUAUUGCACAAUGGAGGAAACUCUGAUGCAGCGACGCCGCGUGAGGGAAGAAGGUUUUCGGAUUGUAAACCUCUGUCUUCGGGGACGAAACAAAUGACGGUACUCGAGGAGGAAGCCACGGCUAACUACGUGCCAGCAGCCGCGGUAAUACGUAGGUGGCAAGCGUUGUCCGGAAUUACUGGGUGUAAAGGGAGCGCAGGCGGAACUGCAAGUUGGGUGUUUAAUCUACGGGCUCAACCCGGAUCAGCAUUCAAAACUGUGGUUCUUGAGUAAUGCAGAGGUAGGCGGAAUUCCCGGUGUAGCGGUGGAAUGCGUAGAUAUCGGGAGGAACACCAGUGGCGAAGGCGGCUUACUGGGCAUCAACUGACGGUGAGGCUCGAAAGCAUGGGUAGCAUACAGGAUUAGAUACCCUGGUAGUCCAUGCCGUAAACGAUGAUUACUAGGUGUGGGGAGAUUGUCCCUCUCCGUGCCGCAGUUAACACAAAAAUUG
rnacentral:rRNA from 1 species